rnacentral:tRNA from 1 species
CCUCGCCCCGUACGCGCGGCUCGGUGCGUGCCCACUCGCGCUGGGCGGCCGCCGCGGCAGCGAGCGCCCGGUCGCCGUCGGCCGGCGUGGC